UACGUAGGGUGCAAGCGUUGUCCGGAAUUAUUGGGCGUAAAGGGCUCGUAGGCGGUCCAUCGCGUCGGGAGUGAAAAGCUGGGGCUUAACCCCAGUCCUGCUUCCGAUACGGGUGGACUAGAGGUAGGUAGGGAGAACGGAAUCCUGGAUGUAGCGGUGAAAUGCGCAGAUAUCAGGAGGAACACCGGUGGCGAAGGCGGUCUCUGGCCUUACCUGACGCUGAGGAGCGAAAGCAUGGGGAGCAAACAGG
rnacentral:rRNA from 1 species